CCCAACCCCUGGUUUUGUUUUUGAUUUAUUUUAUCUUAUGUUUUGGCAUUGCUAGGGUCUUGUGCUGUGUGAUUUUGUCGUUGCAGGCUGACUUGUUUAUUUGGAGAAAGACAGACAGAGAGGGAGAGAUGCCACAGCACUGGAGAAGCUUCCCCCAGGAACACUGUCACACUCCCAUGUAGUGGUGGGGCACGAGCCUGGACCCCUGGUAUGGCAAGAUCUUUGGCAAUGCCUCCACCUGGCGGUUGGAAGCGGAAGUGGAACAGUGAGCUGCCGCCUUGCUCCCUUUCCUCAAAGCCCGUCAGAGACCCAGGGUCACCCUGACUCAGGGACACCAGAGGGAGCAGGAAGCACCAGAAAAGAGAUCUCUGAGGAGGUGAGGUGACUCAGGAAGAAAGGGAAGGAGAAAAAGAAGGAAGGGAGGGGACGAGGAUGAAGGAAAAGAGAAAAAGAGGAAGGUUCGCAAAAAGGAGA